GUCAGCAUGCAUCUUAACUGGUUUCAGAUUGUCCUUGCCAGAAAACUCCUCUCAUCUCUACUUCUUCCAGGCAUCUUGACUGGUCUUGGUUUCCUUCUGGGAUCUUAGGUGAUCCUAACAUAAUCAAGGCAGUCCUUAUUGUUUAGAUACACUUGGGAAAAGAGGAUCCUAGUGAAUCUCCAUAGUUUCAGAGACUGAACUUAAUGAGCUUCCCUGCAGGAUGGAAUGUUUUAUGUUCUUGAGAACAUCCUGAAUUUUCAGGAGGAAUAUGAUGUGGAGGAUGGUGGUGGUGGAAGUAAUGUUUUACGUGGUUAUAGAGAGGAAAAAGCUAGACAUGGCUGAAUACAAAAAGACCCAAGAAUGGGAAGGAGCCAGAAGAUUACAACAGAUUGCUAGAGUAAGUUUGAGGCCAAGCAGAGUAAUUCAGGAGCAGCUGAGAGAAGCAGAUUGAAUCAAUUAGCUUGGAGAGGAGUUUGAGCCACAACAGCUGAGUUGAGACAGCCAGCCAGAGUUCAAAAAAGAACUAGAAGGGAUGAGCAAGUCAGCAGUCAGCUUCUGAGAUGACAAUGAUAACAGGGAUUGAGCAGUUCAAGUUCAAGUUGGUAUCAAGAUUUAAGUAUGGUCUCUUUUCUAAUUCAAAGUCAUCUUUUUGCUGAAUGCUCAUACAUGGGAAGAAGUAAGUUUUUCUUUCUGCCCCAUUUAUAUAUCCAUUUACUUAUCUAGUUUUCUACUCUAUCUCUCUACUUCUUUAUCUAUCUAUCUAUCUAUCUAUCUAUCUAUCUAUCUAUCUAUACUAUAUCUACUUAUCAUCUAUAUCUAAUGUCUUUCUAUCUAUCUAUCAUCUAUCUAUCUAUCUAUCUAUCUAUCUAUCUAUCUAUCUAUCUAUUUCUAUCGACUAUUUUCCUGUAAUCAGACUGUUGGCAUGUAUAUUCUGGGAAAGAACUAUGCUACAGAAUCUCUUGGAGAACUAAUCUUUUAUGGAUUCACACAUUUUGGAGAAACUGUAUACCCCUAUUACCCUUGUGAAUUUUAAUGUGCAUCAAUACAUUGAAGAAGGUCCUUAUUUUUUCAUGUCAUAGAUGAUUGAGGAACAGAUAGUGAACAAAAUGAGUAAAGUUGUUGAUAUAUAUUUAAACAUUUUCAUUACAUUGUAUAUUUUACAACACAUAGAGCACUGAUGUAGCAGCUCACAUAUUAGCUUUUACAUGAACACAUCUAAAUCUAUUAGAGGCAUGUUCUCAGAGUUUUUAUUGAUAAAGUGUGUGAAGAGGAAAAAAAUUGACUUUUCAUUAAAGGAUCUGAGAAGUUUUCCAGUAAGGCAUUACUUUGAACUUGUUACAGCAUGGGUGACUCUCUGUGUAUGUAUGUAUCAUCAAUUAUGAUCCAAUAAAACACUUUGUGAAAUACU